rnacentral:rRNA from 1 species
UGGGGAAUUUUGGACAAUGGGCGAAAGCCUGAUCCAGCAAUGCCGCGUGUGUGAAGAAGGCCUUCGGGUUGUAAAGCACUUUUGUCCGGAAAGAAAUCCUUGGCUCUAAUACAGUCGGGGGAUGACGGUACCGGAAGAAUAAGCACCGGCUAACUACGUGCCAGCAGCCGCGGUAAUACGUAGGGUGCAAGCGUUAAUCGGAAUUACUGGGCGUAAAGCGUGCGCAGGCGGUUUGCUAAGACCGAUGUGAAAUCCCCGGGCUCAACCUGGGAACUGCAUUGGUGACUGGCAGGCUAGAGUAUGGCAGAGGGGGGUAGAAUUCCACGUGUAGCAGUGAAAUGCGUAGAGAUGUGGAGGAAUACCGAUGGCGAAGGCAGCCCCCUGGGCCAAUACUGACGCUCAUGCACGAAAGCGUGGGGAGCAAAGCAGGGUUAGAUACCCUGGUAGUCCACGCCCUAAACGAUGUCAACUAGUUGUUGGGGAUUCAUUUCCUUAGUAACGUAGCUAACGCGUGAAGUUGACCGCCUGGGGAGUACGGUCGCAAGAUUAAAACUCAAAGGAAUUGACGGGGUCAUAGCUGUUUCCU